rnacentral:lncRNA from 1 species
CAUGCAGAGCCCCUCCACCACUUCCCACGCCAACAGCACCCAACCCCCCUCAAACAACAACUCCGCCUUCCUCUCCCCCUUCCCCUUCCCCUUCCCCUUCCCCGCCGACGACGUCGUCCCCACCUUUGUCAGCCACCGCCAUCACCGCCACUACAAUGAGACAGCCGGCGCCUCCUGCCGCCUCCCGCCGCCUCGCCCUCUCCUGCUACUCCUCCUCCCG